GAUGAACGCUAGCGGCAGGCUUAAUACAUGCAAGUCGAGGGGCAGCGGGAGUAGCAAUACUUGCCGGCGACCGGCGCACGGGUGCGUAACACGUAUGUAAUCUGCCCAUCACAGGAGGAUAGCCCGGAGAAAUUCGGAUUAAUACUCCAUAAUAGAAGAUGAAGCAUUUUAUUUUCUUGAAAGUUCCGACGGUGAUGGAUGAACAUGCGACUGAUUAGUUUGUUGGUGAGGUAACGGCUCACCAAGACUACGAUCAGUAGGGGUACUGAGAGGUUAAACCCCCACACUGGUACUGAGACACGGACCAGACUCCUACGGGAGGCAGCAGUAAGGAAUAUUGGACAAUGGCCGCAAGGCUGAUCCAGCCAUGCCGCGUGCAGGAAGACGGACCUAUGGUUUGUAAACU
rnacentral:rRNA from 1 species